rnacentral:lncRNA from 1 species
AAAAAAGAAACGUAGAAUAACAAUAUGUCACCCCAACUCCGUUGAGGGUGCCAUAAAAAAAGAAACGUAAAAUAACAAUAUGUCACCCCAACUCCGUUGAAGGUGCCAUAACAAAGAAACAUAAGACAAGCAAUAUGUCACCCGACAUUGUCGAUCGGGUGACAUAAUAAGAAAAAAAAGAAACGAACAAUAACAAUAUGUCACCCCAACUCCAUUGAGGGUGCCAUAAU